rnacentral:rRNA from 1 species
GAUCCUGGCUCAGGAUGAACGCUGGCGGCGCGCCUAACACAUGCAAGUCGAACGGCACCUAUCUUCGUAUAGAAGCGAGUGGCGAACGGCUGAGUAACACGUGGAGAACCUGCCCCCCUCCCCCGGGAUAGCCGCCCGAAAGGACGGGUAAUACCGGAUACCCCGGGGUGCCGCAUGGCACCCCGGCUAAAGCCCCGACGGGAGGGGAUGGCUCCGCGGCCCAUCAGGUAGACGGCGGGGUGACGGCCCACCGUGCCGACAACGGGUAGCCGGGUUG